GCCAUAUAACCAUAGCUACUGCUGUGAACAAGAGUCUGACCAGUACGGUCAGCUCUCCUGCACUGAUGUCCACACAAAUAUCCGUCCUGUUACUCUCUCAUUCAACACUGCUUUGAGCAAUGGCCCAGGGGACGCACAGGGGCUCUGCAGCCUGUGAGUCAGGAGGCUGAGAAGGGAUUGAUUCUCAUGCUCAGUCAUCUCUGAACACUUCCUGAGAAAACAGUUCGUUUUCAGUUAUAACAAUUUCAAGCUACGCAAAACAUCACUGCAGCUGUAACUGCUGUUUCUGUUUUAGAACUACAUGGAUGUAGCUGCAAAAAGAUCUGGAAAGAUAAGUUUAAUUAAAUUUUCCAUAUUAGAAAAAUACAUAUUGUCUUUUCACUCUUUUAAGGUUCCGACUUAUCUUCCUGCUUCUGCUCCCUCCCUCUCUUUAUAUACUCUUCCAACAAGUAAUUUGCUUUACUUGAUUGAAAACUUGAUAUAAAUUAUAAGACUAGCUUCUAUGUCUUAAAUUCAUUAGAAAACAUUAUCCAGAUGAUCAUUCCUCUAUUCUCUAUAUUAAGUGCUAUAACUUCUAUUUAGUAUUUUUUCUGACUUUUAAUGCUGCUUUGUUCAGGUAUUAAUUUAACUGGAUGGAAAAGACUUCUACUAGGCUGAAAUAUUCAUAGAGAUUGUACAGUAGAAUCAGGUUAAUGUUAUCUGCUGUUGAUAUACUGUUAUGCAUUGUUUCACCCUUUUCUUCUGUUUUAUAUUAGAAUAAGUCAUAAAAACUUGUGUUGUAAAAAGCCAACAACUCAACCAGCUCUUUUCCAGCACUUAAAAAAUCUCCAAUUUGCCAAAGCAUGGAUCUUAUCCCAGCUGCUCUUGGUAAGAGGGAUUAGAGUGACCAUACAGAUUUCUCACUUGUGUGAUGAAAGACAGAUUUGACGGUAUUUGUCCUUUUUUCAUUGAUUAGAAGCAAGAAGCCAGCCAGAGCCACAUCUUUCAACAGCUAUAGAAGAUUAAAAUCUAUAAUUUAAAUAUAACACACAGCAUUGGUUGAAAAAAAUCUAGCCUUAGUGAUUUUAUUCUUUAGGCUGCACAAAAGUAGUAAAAAGA